AUUGAACGCUGGCGGCAUGCUUUACACAUGCAAGUCGAACGGUAACAGGCCGCAAGGUGCUGACGAGUGGCGAAUGGGUGAGUAAUGCAUCGGAACGUGCCCAGUCGUGGGGGAUAACGCAGCGAAAGCUGCGCUAAUACCGCAUACGAUCUAUGGAUGAAAGCGGGGGACCGUAAGGCCUCGCGCGAUUGGAGCGGCCGAUGUCAGAUUAGGUAGUUGGUGGGGUAAAGGCUCACCAAGCCAACGAUCUGUAGCUGGUCUGAGAGGACGACCAGCCACACUGGGACUGAGACACGGCCCAGACUCCUACGGGAGGCAGCAGUGGGGAAUUUUGGACAAUGGGCGCAAGCCUGAUCCAGCAAUGCCGCGUGCAGGAAGAAGGCCUUCGGGUUGUAAAGGACUUUUGUCGGGGAGGAAAUCCCCAGCGUUAAUACCGCUGGGGGAUGACAGUACCUGAAGAAUAAGCACCGGCUAACUACGUGCCAGCCGCCGCCGUAACAC
rnacentral:rRNA from 1 species